rnacentral:rRNA from 1 species
GACGAACGCUGGCGGCGUGCUUAACACAUGCAAGUCGAACGGGACUCUUUGGAUCAAGACUUCGGUCAAGUGAAUUUGAGUUUAGUGGCGGACUGGUGAGUAACGCGUGAGGAACCUGCCUUUCAGAGGGGGACAACAGUUGGAAACGACUGCUAAUACCGCAUAACACAUUCGGGCGGCACCGCUUGAAUGUCAAAGAUUUUAUCGCUGAAAGAUGGCCUCGCGUCCCAUUAGAUAGUUGGCGGGGUAACGGCCCACCAAGUCGACGAUGGGUAGCCGGACUGAGAGGUUGACCGGCCACAUUGGGACUGAGAUACGGCCCAG